rnacentral:antisense_RNA from 2 species
UAUAAGCAUGGAAAUCCCCUGAGUGAAACAACGAAUUGCUGUGUGUAGUCUUUGCCCAUCUCCCACGAUGGGCUUUUUUUUAA